UGUAUUCUUAGUGCAGGUGUACUGAGCUCACCAUCUUAGUGCAGGUGUACUGAGCUCACUGUCUUAGUGCAGGUGUAUUCUUAGUUCAGGUGUACUGAGCUCACCAUCUUAGUGCAGGUGUACUGAGCUCACCAUCUUAGUGCAGGUGUACUGAGCUCACUGUCUUAGUGCAGGUGUAUUCUUAGUGCAGGUGUACUGAGCUCACCAUCUUAGUGCAGGUGUACUGAGCUCACCAUCUUAGUGCAGGUGUACUGAGCUCACUGUCUUAGUGCAGGUGUAUUCUUAGU